UACGUAGGGGGCUAGCGUUGUCCGGAUUUAUUGGGCGUAAAGGGCGCGUAGGCGGCUUGGGAAGUCUGUGGUGAAAGCUCGUGGCUCAACUGCGAGUCGGCCAUAGAUACUCCUAAGCUCGAGUCGACUAGAGGCAGAUGGAAUUCCGGGUGUAGCGGUGGAAUGCGUAGAGAUCCGGAAGAACACCGGUGGCGAAGGCGGUCUGCUGGGGUCGAACUGACGCUGAGGCGCGACAGCGUGGGGAGCAAACAGG
rnacentral:rRNA from 1 species